GUUCGGUUCAUCACCUGUAUCCCACGCCAAUGACCACUUCAGGCACCACUUCAAUGACAGGUUAUCAGCCCUCAGCUGGGAGCAGCAAUGAGACUGAAGCUCGAAUGUGUACCUCUAAGCAGUGCUGAACACAUCCUGGAAAGUUGGUGUUGAUAUGAACGGUGCACAUCUUCCAGGAUGCCCAGUGGAAGUUCCUGAUCUGGCCUUCUGCAGUGUCACGCUCCGUGUAUUUGACAAGCUGAGUUGGACACUCUGUGUGGUAGAGUGUCAGUUUGUCAAAUACCCCAAGUGUGGCUCAUGCCUGUCAGCUCCAGGCCCAGGACAGAAGAAUAGCCAGCCUGCUGACUAUAUAUGAAUGUUUAUGAAACACCAAGCUCUCUCACGUUACUCUAUGGUUUUUGAGGGAACUAUAACAUUUUGUCAGGGGACAUAGGGGUAAGAAUGAUGCAGCUCUGGGGCCCAAAAAUCUGGGAUAUAUCUAUCUACUUACCUUGUGGGAAUGCCAUGGAAUGCACAAUGGUAUUGAAAAUACAUAAGUGAUACCAGGAAGAAGUGCUAUUUGAUUUAUUAUUAAUGUCUUCUUUUACAUUGCUCUUCUUGCAGCCUGAACACCAGAAUUUUCAUACAAGUAUCAUGACUUUUAUAAGAAAGUAGGACAUAGAAAUCCACGUUCUUGCCCUUGGAGCACAUCUUGACCUUACCUACGUUUUAUCUUUUUCUCUUUGCUUUUCUCCUUCUUAAACCACUCCUCCUGCUUCUCUUUGCACACCCAAUUCUUCCAUGUACUUUCAGACCAUGCCAAAUUCCAAUCGCUCUGGGCAGUUUUGAAAGUCCACCUAGACUUUUCCUUUACUCCUUGACUAGAUACAUUUCCUGCCACCCAACAUAUUCUCCUAAAUUGUCAGUGAAUUGUUCCAGGGUAUAUUCUUGAAUUCCCCAUUACGUUGUAAGAGUCUAGAGUGUAUUAUAUUUACUUGAUUGCUGUCUUUCCUACCAUUGUCCAACAUUUUAAUUUAUUUAAUAAAAGCUAACCAAUUAAUUGA